ensembl:snRNA U6 U6 spliceosomal RNA
GUGCUCACUUCGGCAGCACAUGUACUAAAAUUGGAAUAAGAGAAGAUCAUCUUGGCCCCUGCCCAACGAUGACAUGCAGAUUUGUGAAGCUUUCUAAACUUUU